GCCACUGCUAUUGGGGUUCGGCUAAGCCAUGCGAGUGGAGGGCGUCCCGCAAGGGAUGGCCCCCGCAGACGGCUCAGUAACACGUCGUCGACCCACCUUAGGGUGGGGGACAACCUCGGGAAACUGAGGAUAAUCCCCCAUAGGCGGGGGAGGCUGGAAUGCGCCCCCGCUGAAGCUCAGGCGCCCUAGGACGGGACGGUGGCCUAUCAGGUAGUUGGUGGUGUGACG
rnacentral:rRNA from 1 species